rnacentral:rRNA from 1 species
GUCCACGCCGUAAACGAUGAUAACUAGAUGUUGGGGAGUUGACCCCUCAGUAUCGCAGCUCACGCAUUAAGUUAUCCGCCUGGGGAGUACGGCCGCAAGGCUAAAACUCAAAGGAAUUGACGGGGCCCGCACAAGAGGUGGAGUAUGUGGUUUAAUUCGACGCAACGCGAAGAACCUUACCUGGGCUUGACAUCCUCUGAAUACGGUAGAGAUAUCGUAGUCCCGCAAGGGACAGGGAGACAGGUGCUGCAUGGCUGUCGU